AGACAGGAAGAGCACAGAGUAGCGGAGAGGUGAUGCAGAGGCUGGCACAGUGAGCGGCUGGCGAGUCAUGAGGCCCUGAUCUCAAGCAGUAUGAAGGUGGUGUAAGUAAAGAAUGACUUCAGCUGCUUGGCUGACUCCGGAGAGUUGACAUCGAGGAAGAAUCUUGCAGGAGGCAAGUGGUCGGGUCAGAAGCUGAACCGCCAGAUCCAAGGAGUGAGCGGAGGUGGUGAAGAAGGGGUGAAGGUACCCUCAGGGAGCCGGAAGGUCCAGUAUCAAUGAAGCACGGAGGCAGAUGGGCCGGGCACCGGGCUCCUGGAGCCUGGGUUUAUGCUAAGCACAGGCAUACCCCACGCCUCGCCUCUUCUGUACCUUUGAGUCAUGACCAUGGAGGUAACAGGUGAUCUCAGGAGAAAACCAGGAGGACACGGAAGAUGAGGGCAGAUGAGGAGGGUCCGUAAGAAAGCCAGGGCCGUGAAAGUGAUGGGUUCUUCGGAUGGUUGAGCAAACCGUUUUUAUCUAUAUGCAGGCAUGAGGGCCUCUCUGGUGUUUUCUGAUUGUUACUUUUUGUUGUGGUAGCACAUGCAUAAAGUAAUAAUCACCCUUUUGGCUAUUUGCA